rnacentral:rRNA from 1 species
GGAGUCUAGCAUGUGCGCGAGUCAUUGGGACAUGACUAAACCUAAAGGCGCAAUGAAAGUGAAGGUCAGCCUUGCGCUGACCGAGGGAGGAUGGGCGGUAGCGUUCGCUUCCGCCUCGCACUCCCGGGGCGUCUCAUUCUCAUUGCGAGAAGAGGCGCACCAAGAGCGUACACGCUGGGACCCGAAAGAUGGUGAACUAUGCCUGGUCAGGACGAAGUCAGGGGAAACCCUGAUGGAGGUCCGUAGCGAUUCUGACGUGCAAAUCGAUCGUCGGAACUGGGUAUAGGGGCGAAAGACUAAUCGAACCAUCUAGUAGCUGGUUCCCUCCGAAGUUUCCCUCAGGAUAGCUGGCGCUCGUAGCGCACGAGUUUCAUCCGGUAAAGCGAAUGAUUAGAGGCAUUGGGGUCGAAACGGCCUCAACCUAUUCUCAAACUUUAAAUGGGUGAGAUCUCCGGCUUGCUCGAACUAUUGAAGCCGUGAGACUCGAAUCAGAGUGCCAAGUGGGCCAUUUUUGGUAAGCAGAACUGGCGCUGUGGGAUGAACCAAACGCCGAGUUAAAGCGCCUAAAUCGACGCUUAUGGGAUACCAUGAAAGGCGUUGGUAACUUAAGACAUCAGGACGGUGGCCAUGGAAGUC